CAGAAUAUUCACGCACUUCGAUUAAAACCUUUUUUUCCUUUUUUUUUUUUUUUCGGAGAUAAAUUCAAAAUGCUUCAAUGACUUGCGAAAAAUAUAUAUCUCCUCUUUUGAAAGAUGGGUAAAGGUACGGGCUAUUUUCGCAACACGAUCGACAAGUACGGGCUGACAUGAGCGAUAACAUUGCGCAUCUGGCUCAUAGACGAUCAUUAAACUGCUCUAUAAUAGUAACUCGGUCGACCGAGCGCGGUCGCGAUUCUAACGCACCUUCUCCGUUGCGGUGCGUGAAUCUUCACCGUGAAUCCAUGACGCGUGAAUGGUAUGCAGUCCGGCGAACAAACGCGAAAAUCUUUUCGUCCCAUUGGAAACGUGACCGUCGAUAAUGUAACAGUGAUCGUAACGUAUAGAUAGAAAAUGUUUCUUUCGAAUUGUUUCAGUCUACAAUUACGUUUCAAUCUAUCAUCAGUUAAUGCGUCAAUUUUUACAUAAAUAUCGUUUUUUACGUUUAUCUUCGGAGUGGGAUACAAAUUUUGUGAUACGACACGAACGAGGACGCUGUUGCCAUUAAAUCACCUAUAAAGAAAAUAUGUACAGCAAAAGUUUAUUAUCGCAUACAGUCUCGUGUAAUCAGAGCGAACGAGAUGUCGGAAAAUACGAAAAUCGCGUGUGUCGUGUGUAAAUGCAUCGAGUCAGGGAAAGCGGCGUUUUAAACGGCAAAGAGAAAACAUUACACAUUCGCUGCGCUUUUGCACCUAUUUCGAAUAAACGAUACUACGCACGAAUCGUUUAAUCGCGCAAUUCAUCUAUGUUUUUUGAAGAAAAAAAAAAAAAGAAAAAAGAAUAUAUAGUGACACUAUAGCUUCGAUUUCUAGGAAAAGAUGAAAGAAAUAAUAAAUGUCUCAAUUUCAAUUCAAUGCGUUUAUUCGUUCAAGUGUUCCAAUGUAAAUUCUUCGAGUGGAAUAAAAUUGGCGAAAGUUGUCCCUCAACACCAAAAUUAUUGAUUCAUUUAAAGCAUUAUUUUUGGUACAUGAUGAUACAAAUCAAUUGAUCAAUGUUUGCUUCGAUCGAAUAAUCAAGGAACAAGAUUGUAAGAAAAGAUGCUGCCUGCCUUGAAAUUGAUCAAUAUGCUAUGUAAUUUUCAUUAAACGUCGCUACAAACAUUAAGCGAGAAUAUUGUCACAUUUUUGUUUUUAGUCAAUCUCUUUAUGAGAUAAAAACAUAGGCUAAUAUAUUAUUAUAAAUAGAGAAAAAUAGAUAUUACUAUAACAAAGAGAAAUUUGGCUUUUUUUUUUUUAGAAAAAAAUCGGAAUAUGUGUUAAAUUCUUUAUGAUUAUGUAAUCAAUUAUAUAUAAGUUUAAAAAAUGGUUUUCAUUAUUAGUAAGAUUCUUAAUGAAGUGUUUUGAAUAUACUUUUAAUAUUCAACACCUGUAAGAUAUUUCAAAUUAAUAAUAGAAAUCAAUAAAGUGAGUGCAAAUUAUUUGAAGAAACUGAAAAAAAAAAAUCAAUUGGAAAUUUCGCGGUGGAAAAAAAAAACGCGUGCGUUUGUGUUGAACUAUUUGAAACGGUUAUAAAAUAUGCGCGCGAUAUUUGUAAAUAUCCAAUGGCUGUAACGGAAAUCACACAAUGCGUUAAACUUAUUCGACGAAAAAAGCAAGAGUAAAGAGUUAAGAAAAAGAUUGAUAAUCGAAAAUAUAUAGAUUGUAUAAAGCGUUAAGCGAAAUUGGAUUUUAGAUUUUAAACCAUAUAACUAUAAGUCGAAUCACGCGCAUAAAACCUGAAUCGUCAAACUACUUUGAAACUUCUUAAACCAACCGCCGCUCCCUCUAUAAUCGUUACACAUAAUCGCUUUUACUUCGAAAAUUUAAUUAUUCUAUUUCGGCUUUGUAAUUCGACAAAUUACAAGAAAAGUUUCUCUCUUCUUUUGUUUUGCUUUGUUUUGCUUUUCCAUUGAUUGUACCACGGAUCAAGACUAUUACAUAAACGCAUGAACCAGGGUUCCAUAAUGUAAUCCAAGAAUAAAUCGUUGGCUAACGUGUAAUAACUAACGCUCAUAUCCCCCUUCUCUUUUAUUUAUUGCUAUCCAUCCCUAUUUGCGGACUGGUUUAUUAAAGACAAGUUUGUAUAGUUCUUUCGAAUCGAGCAUAACUUGUGAAAUCUAGAAAAGAAUAGCAAAUAUAAAAUGUGACACUAAGUCGUGUAAUCUAUGAUGAUAAUAACGAUGAACAUAUGUAUUUGGCAAUCGGUAAUACUUAAUUAACAUGUAUAUAUAUAUAUAUAUAUAUAUAUAUAUAUAUAUAUAUAUAUAUAUCAUGAACACGGAAAGAAAAUUGGAACACGAAUAACAACAAAAUGCCAAGUUUUCACAUAUCAAGCGUGUUUGUUUCUUACGAAACAGAGCAAUCGUUCAAAGAACAAUGCUCGAAGUUAACGUAAACGAUGAAUAUCUUGAUUAUCGUGAACAUGAUCGUGAAAGUACAAAGGGAUUGUUGGAAAUGAUCAAUAUUUGCAAUAACAUUCGAACGAAUUGUGUAAAGUUCUACGAGUGAUGUCCAAUCGAAUCGAUUAUUAUUGCUGCAAUAUUAAUUUUUCAUACUCUUGAAUCAAAGUGUCAAAAAAUCAAUUCUUUCGAAAUAAAUAAAUAAAAUCAGAGUAUGGAGGAAAAAAUUUGCAACGAAAAAAAUAAUAUGUUUGAAGAGGAAAGGAAAGAAUAAUAGUUUCGUAGAGGAUAGAAACAUAGAGAAACAUUAUUCAUGACUAUCAAUCGAUCAAUAAGCGGAUGUUAUAAUAGUAAUUCUUUAUAGAUUUAAAUUAAGAAAAAUUUGAUAAAUGCAAUUAAUUUGCAAUGAAAAGAAUAAAGAAAAAUUCAUAGAUAAAAAUAUUUUAAUUAGAAAAAAAAUUUGGUAUCCAAAAUCAUCCGAAAAUGAUCUUGAUCAUACGUAAAUAUUAGCAAACGAUAUGAUUGUCAUACGCAUUGUUUCGAUGAGUGAAUGUCGAUCCCUCGUUUUUUACAGCCAUAUCGGUUUCGCGUACGUUGGUCGGUGUUGAACAUGCCACGAAAUAUAUACGCUACUUUGUUCAUUGUAUAUAUGUAUAUAGCUUGGGUAGCGGGGCGAUACGUCAACGAGAAACGCGCUCCCCAACUAGCCUCGAGGUGUGCUCGUGACAGAGAAUGAGUAAAAUGUGGGGUUAGGUCGACUAGUGAGCGAAAUCAACGAUUAUGAAAAUUUAAAUAUUUGAAGGGAAAUUUUUUACUAGUUUUGAUUCAAAUAAAAAAAAA
rnacentral:lncRNA from 1 species